UCCGUAGGUGGAUAAUUAAGUCAGAGGUGAAAUCCUGCAGCUCAACUGUAGAAUUGCCUUUGAUACUGGUUAUCUUGAGUCAUCAUGAAGUGGUUAGAAUGUGUAGUGUAGCGGUGAAAUGCAUAGAUAUUACACAGAAUACCGAUUGCGAAGGCAGAUCACUAAUAAUGUACUGACACUGAGGGACGAAAGCGUGGGGAGCGAACAGGAUUAGAUACCCUGGUAGUCC
rnacentral:rRNA from 1 species